GGCCAUGUGGCUCAGUUGGUUGAGCAUCAGAUUUGUAAUCCAAAGGUUAUGGGUUUGAUAUCCACCCAAGCCA